AUAGCUGACGAAAAGCCCAAGGAAGGAGUCAAGGCUGAGAACCACGAUCAUACUAAUUUAACGGUGGCAGGGAAAGAUGGUUCUGUGAUGCAGUUUAAGAUUAAGAGGCAUACACCACUUAGUAAACUAAUGAAAGCCUAUUGUGAAAGACAGGGAUUGUCAAUGAGGCAGAUUAGAUUACAAUUCCACAGGUAACCAAUCAAUGAAACAGACACACCUGCACAGUUGGAAAUGGAGGAUGAAGAUACAAUUGAUGUGUUCCAACAGCAGACGGGAGGUGUCU
rnacentral:lncRNA from 1 species